UAGAAAUAUUGUUUAUGUUUGAUUUCGAAAUGAAUAUCAAUUAAACUAUUUCUAUUCUAUUAUUAGCACUAUCCGUUAUUAAUUUAAUAGAUAGUUUGUUAAUAAUGUUUUACUGUGAGUAAAAUAGAGUGUUCAAAGCAGGCUUAUGCCGUUGAAUACGUUAGCAUGGAAUAAUAAGAUAAGACCUUGUUUUUAUUUUGUUGGUUUAAGAAAUUAGUGUA
rnacentral:rRNA from 1 species